AAGGAGAAGAAGAAGAAGAAGGAAGGAGGUAGUUUAGUGUUGAUUUUCAUUUUCCCUUCCCUUUAUUCUCUUCAAGAAGUAGAGAAAUUUUAUUAGUUAAAAUUUCAAAUUUUGAAAUGAAUACUACUUGGAGUUCAAGUUAUUGAUUCUUUAAUUCCUAUCUACACUAAGGUGGUGACGAAGAAAUUGGAAAAGCUUACCGAUCGGCCUAAUCUGUAGCUCGUAUUGAUGUAUGACCAGAUAGCUCUGCGCGCGUAUGACCGAAAUUUCAGAAUUUCAGAAUUACAGAAUUGAAUAGUUUUGCCAUGUCUAUCGGUGCUAACAGAUACAUGAGUAUAGUUAUUUCAGGUACCUUUUUGGUUUGAUUUUUCAGUAUUAUACAGCUUAAUAGAUUUCAGAAUACAUGAUUUAGCUUAUUUAAGUUAAAGAUUAAAGAUCUUAGCUUAAAGCACUGUAUAAUGAUAUUUUAUUAUAAAUUAGUUUUUAGAAAAUUAGCAUAAAUGGAAAAAGUAUAUUUGUUUACAAAAUUAUCCACUCACUGAGUUACGAGCUCAUAUAUUUCAUCUUCGAUUUUCUUAUUAGACAGUAGCGCGUUGAGUCGCAUCGGAGCCUGUUGAAUUACCAAAUUGAGCCACUCAGCUGUUAUUCAUAUGUUUCUUUUUGUCAGUUUAUACUAUUCAUAAUUUUUGGAAGUAGAUGCAUCUUUUGUUAGUUUA